rnacentral:rRNA from 1 species
CACGUAGGGUGCGAGCGUUGUCCGGAAUUAUUGGGCGUAAAGAGCUCGUAGGCGGUGUGUCGCGUCGGCCGUGAAAACUUGCAGCUUAACUGUGGGCGUGCGGUCGAUACGGGCAUGACUGGAGUUCGGCAGGGGAGACUGGAAUUCCUGGUGUAGCGGUGAAAUGCGCAGAUAUCAGGAGGAACACCGGUGGCGAAGGCGGGUCUCUGGGCCGAUACUGACGCUGAGGAGCGAAAGCGUGGGGAGCGAACAGG